CGACGAGCGAGAGAGAGCUUGCUUUCUCGAGCGAGUGGCGACCGGGAGAGUAACGCGUGAGGAACCUGCCUCAAAGAGGGGGACAACAGUUGGAAACGACUGCUAAUACCGCAUAAGCCCACGGGUCGGCAUCGACCAGAGGGAAAAGGAGCAAUCCGCUUUGAGAUGGCCUCGCGUCCGAUUAGCUAGUUGGUGAGGUAAUGGCCCACCAAGGCGACGAUCGGUAGCCGGACUGAGAGGUUGAACGGCCACAUUGGGACUGAGACACGGCCCAGACUCCUACGGGAGGCAGCAGUGGGGAAUAUUGCACAAUGGGGGAAACCCUGAUGCAGCGACGCCGCGUGGAGGAAGAAGGUCUUCGGAUUGUAAACUCCUGUUGUUGGGGAAGAUAAUGACGGUACCCAACAAGGAAGUGACGGCUAACUACGUGCCAGCAGCCGCGGUAAAACGUAGGUCACAAGCGUUGUCCGGAAUUACUGGGUGUAAAGGGAGCGCAGGCGGGAAGACAAGUUGGAAGUGAAAUCUAUGGGCUCAACCCAUAAACUGCUUUCAAAACUGUUUUUCUUGAGUAGUGCAGAGGUAGGCGGAAUUCCCGGUGUAGCGGUGGAAUGCGUAGAUAUCGGGAGGAACACCAGUGGCGAAGGCGGCCUACUGGGCACCAACUGACGCUGAGGCUCGAAAGUGUGGGUAGCAAACAGGAUUAGAUACCCUGG
rnacentral:rRNA from 1 species